CAUCUCAAUUCAAUCUUAAUUUAAUCCUAGUUAAAAUCCUAUUGGACUUCAUUCAAACUUUAGGCCACAACAAAUUAAAUUUAAAAUCCUAAACAAAUCCUAAUAAAAUCCUAUAUCCUAAAUCAAACCCUAACCAAACCCUAACCAAAUCCUAAAUAAAUCCUAAACUCUAAACCAAAUUCCAACCAAAUCCUAAAUUCUAAAUCAAACCCCAAUCAAAUUCUAAACCAAAUCCUAAAUCCUAAAUCAAAUCCUAACCAAGCCCUAAACCAAACCUUAAAUAAAAUCCUAACCAAACUCUAAAACCUAAACCAAAUCCUAAAUCCUAAACCAAAUCCUAAACAAACCCUAAAUCAAACCUUAACCAA
rnacentral:lncRNA from 1 species